rnacentral:lncRNA from 1 species
ACCUUUGAAAAAGUAAGGAGUCUCUGAAGGCCAGUAUAAAAAAGAUAAUACUGUCUGCCUAAAAAUCAUCAUGCCUCUCUUCAGAGAGAAACCAGUCAACUGCUCCUACGUCGUCAGUUUGAACUUGGCAGUGGUAAUGAUGGCUACAGAUAAAGGUGACGAUUCCUCAUCAGAACACCCGUGGCCAUUAUCUGAGGUCUAUGUUUGGGAUUUUUCAAAUGAAGAAAGAUCCAUAUUGUUUUAAAUAUUUGCUCUGUUUUCCACAUACAAACUUCAUCACGGCUCAUGAAAAACCUGAGAAAACAUUUUGAGUUUGUUGAAUUCCAUAUAAACAUUUUAAACAGUUUUCUGUGAUUUUAUGAGUUGCUGUUUUUAUUCUAUGGAUGGUCAAUUUACUCUUUAUGGAUUUUCAUGGAUUUACCCACCAAGUUGUUGUAUUAAGUCCGGGUCCUGUGAGACUCAGUAUCUUCUCUAACUUCUGAUAACAAAACCACAAUCCGCUGACAUUAUAAAGCAAAUAAAUGUACUUUUGAAUACGUAAGUGUUUUUAGAAACAAGUACUCCAAUACUUAAAAAAAAAACUGACUGAGCAAUUUUAAUUUUCAUAGUAUUUGACCAGGAGUAUCUAUACUUUGACUCAAGUUAAGAGUUGUGUACUUUGUCC